rnacentral:rRNA from 1 species
GAUGAACGCUGGCGGCGUGCCUAAUACAUGCAAGUCGAGCGAACAGAUAAGGAGCUUGCUCCUUUGACGUUAGCGGCGGACGGGUGAGUAACACGUGGGUAACCUACCUAUAAGACUGGAAUAACUCCGGGAAACCGGGGCUAAUGCCGGAUAACAUUUAGAACCGCAUGGUUCUAAAGUGAAAGAUGGUUUUGCUAUCACUUAUAGAUGGACCCGCGCCGUAUUAGCUAGUUGGUAAGGUAACGGCUUACCAAGGCAACGAUACGUAGCCGACCUGAGAGGGUGAUCGGCCACACUGGAAAUGAGACACGGUCCAGACUCCUACGGGAGGCAGCAGUAGGGAAUCUUCCGCAAUGGGCGAAAGCCUGACGGAGCAACGCCGCGUGAGUGAUGAAGGUCUUCGGAUCGUAAAACUCUGUUAUUAGGGAAGAACAAAUGUGUAAGUAACUGUGCACGUCUUGACGGUACCUAAUCAGAAAGCCACGGCUAACUACGUG